rnacentral:rRNA from 1 species
GACGAACGCUGGCGGCGUGCCUAACACAUGCAAGUUGAGCGACGAACCAGGGCUUGCCCUGGGGCAAAGCAGCGAACGGGUGAGUAACACGUGGGUAACCUACCCCGAUAACCGGGACAACCCGAGGAAACUCGGGCUAAUACCGGAUGUGCUCACUGGACUUCGGUUCAGUGCGUAAAGGAAGCUUCGGCCUCCGUAUCGGGAGGGGCCCGCGGCCCAUUAGUUUGUUGGUGAGGUAACGGCUCACCAAGACCGCGAUGGGUAGCUGGUCUGAGAGGACGAUCAGCCCCACUGGGACUGAGACACGGCCCAGACUCCUACGGGAGGCAGCAGUGGGGAAUCUUGCGCAAUGCGCGAAAGCGUGACGCAGCAACGCCGCGUGGGGGAAGAAGGCCUUCGGGUUGUAAACCCCUUUCAGGAGGGACGAAGGUUCGGCGGUGAAUAGCCGUCCGGACUGACGGUACCUCCACAAGAAGCCCCGGCUAACUACGUG